rnacentral:rRNA from 1 species
UUAAAUUGUAGAACACCCUGAAAAAAGGAUGCCCUGAUCUCGGAAGCUAAGCAGGGUUGGGCCUGCUUAGUACCUGGAUGGGAGACCACCUAGGAAUACUAGGUGCUGUAGGCA